GCUGGGAUGGAGCGCGCCUUGGCCCGCUGGCCGUGGCUGCAGCUCCUCGGGAGCGCCGGGGCGCCCACGCGAGAACCCCGCUUGGGUCUCUUCCGGGAUGACAUCAUCAGUUCACCUCCUUGUCUUCAAGGACCACCUCUGGAAUGCCAAGCUGCUGCCAAGGGAUUUGCUGCUCAUCUCCACCUUAUGAGGGCAACUCGGAGCACGGAUCCCAGGAUCCCAUCAGCCCACAGAGCAGCCACGGGCGGACCCCCAGGACCAAGACAGUGAAGGAUGAUCAGGACCAGAGCUCACCCACCUGCUGCCCCUCUUGGCUAAAUGCUUAAACCAAUGCCCUAGUGAGGGGGCACUGGUCGUUAACCCCUGACCUUUGCUGUGCCUUGAUGCUUGGAUGUUUUCCUGUGUCUUUGCUUGCUUUAACGUGCCAGCGAACUGGAGUGUUUCCCUGCCCAAGGGGGUGUCAAUCUUUGCCAACUGACCCUGUUGUUACCCUUAGAAUGCCCUAGAGGGAAGGACCCCUUUGGGAACUUCUCAAGAGUGGGACCUGGGCCAAUAGCUUGACCAGCAUCUUGCUGGCAAUUCCAGGGCCCCGCUGGGCUUCUGGAAUGAGCAUGAGUCCUGACGCCGUGCUGCUGAACCUCCAAGGGCGAGCCCUACCUCUCCAAGUCCUCCUAUCCUUAUCUGGGGGGUGAUAGGAGUGACCUCCCGGGGUUGUUGUGAGAAUUAAAUGAUGCAAAACAGCCUCAGGCAGGGCAGGCAGAGAAGAAAAAGCCAGCAGCAAAUGCUUGUUAAAAAGGUUUGGCAGCUCAGCGGUUCCUGCCCGCUCACUUGUCUUAUUUAUUCUCCAGCAGCAUUCCAGCCACCCCUGUCCACACCUGGCACCAGGUAGGGGUCCACUGAGAUGGGCAUGGGGCUGGCUUGGGUAGGACUUCGAGUCCUGCAGGUGGUCUUUUCCGGAGCACUUUCUCAAGUGGCAGCCUUGUUUAUCUAGGAGGAUGAGUUUGGUAUUGACUUGUACAAUUCUUAAAGGGUGGGUGGGGAAGAGGAGCCCACCUCAUGGGGCCAGCUUUAUCCACAUUUACCGUAAAGAAGCUGAAGCUGAAGCAGUAUAAGUACUUUGUCACAUUGCUGGCAAGAGAAGGGGUCAGGUUGGACCCUGGGUGCCGUUGUAGCUGCCCCUCAGUGCCCUGUUGCCCCCUCCCCGGGAGUCACACUGAGGGAAAUUUUAUUUCAAAUCAGUCCUUUGACAGUGGGACAGUCUGUUUGAAAUCCUAGCUGCCCAGGGUGGUCUUGGGGGUCUGGGUGGCCCUAAUGCAGAUAGCACGUGCUGGCUUCACCUCUUAAUAGCGAUGUGACCUUAAACAAGUUGCUUAACUUCUCUGAGUUUCAGUUCCUUUAGUGGUCUAAAUGGGGAUUAGAAAAAUAAAAGCAACAAACAAACAAACAAACAACAAAAAACCCACGUUUAUCUACGCUUUUGAAGACCAAACUAUGUAACUGCUCCGAAAGUGCUUUGUAAAUGACCGUGGAAAUUGCUAGAUAUUUAACAGCCUGAGGCUGUCUCUCAUUGGUGUCCAGCCCUGUCCUCCCUGCAGUAAUAAUAACCAGCACCUAUUAGGUGCUGUGUGUGUUUGUGCCUAAUAAAUCAACUCCAGGAUAAAUAAAAACAAUUAAUUCAGCCAACCUUUUCUGGCGCGCUGACAAUAUGUGUGGCGCAGCAAGCUAGGUACGUGCCCCAAAGAUGAAGAAAACAGUCCCUUGGAAGCUAAUUGGGGUCCUCAUUUGACCAGCACUUUUCUUUCGUCCCCUUUUAAGCCAACCAGUUUUGUCCAGACGAGACAAAAAGAGCUCAGGCCAGCUUUAGAGCAGCACAGCUUGCUGGAGACAAUAGCCCCUGGGCAUCUGAAAGGGGCUGAUUGGAUUAAGUGGCAAAUUAAGGUGGAAGGAUGACUUGGAAGGUGACAAAUGAAGUGGGCGGAGAUCUGCUUUGAGUUAAUCCAGGCUAUUAGGAGGGGACCUUUUGUCUCCCCUAGCUUGGCAGGAGCGUUUACCACUGGUUUUACAUCCUUAAUGUUCAGGACAAAUAAUUUAUGGCCAGUGAAAUUCCCGGCCCCAGAGAGAGUCGAGUGGGCUGUAAAAUUGAGUGCUACCCAUGAAUAAGCAGUGAGUAAUCAGAGCCAACAGGGUUCCUCCCAGAGCAGUUUGCAAAACCCUUUUGCAUCCAUCAAUUCAUUUGAUCCUCACAACACCCCGUCCUGGCUCAGACCGGCCUGCCACCACCCUGGGAAACUGAGGCCAUCAAGGGCUCUUCCUACUGGGUUCUCAUCAUGCAUUUGCACCCCUCCUUUGCCUCUUAAGUUUUAGGAAAGAGGUGUCCCCUGUGCCGUCUCCUGCUGUCUCUGACCUUCAGUGAUUCCCUCUGAAUUUCGAGCUCUGCUCUUUCCACCAGCUCGACACAGGGUUGAGCCUUCCCGGGUCUGUCUGUCCUCAACAUGGUCCUUUCUAGCCACUACCGUCUCUCUCUUUCCUUUCACAGCCCAGCUUCUCGAAAGGCCUGUCUCCACUUGCUGCCUUCACUUCUUCACCUCCAAUUUCCUCUUCAACCCACUGCUCUUGACUUCUCUCCUCCGCCUAAUGGCUCAUGAAGGUAAUGUCUUUUCUGAAGCUUAACGCCUCGACACAUUUCCGGCGCAUGGACACAUGACACAUGACACAUUUCUAUUCUUUCCAUGGCUGUUUGGCACUAGUUCACUUCUGCUGACACACGGUUCCCAUUGGCUUCAUGGAGGCGCAGCUCCCAGCUUCCCUCGUUCCUAGUAUCCCCCAGGAUCUCCUAUACCCAGGUCUGUUGACUUCUGGAACCUGCUUCUUGCCACCUUAUCUUGCUGCCUGAAGCACUCUAGAGUAGAACUGACCUGGGUUCGAGUCCUGGCUAAACUUGCACUCAGGCCUUGGGUUAGGUUAGCCUUUCUAAACCAUUCUUUUCUCAGUUGCAAAAUGGGGUUAAUAACUUUUACCUGGCAGGUCAGGUGGGCUAUCCUACAGGUUACUCUUGGCACUAUUUGAAGGGCUUGAUACAAUGUAAAUAAAGUACUCACAAAAAAAUAUAAUUGGAGUCAAGAUAGAUUUUCUUAUGUUCAGUUCCAAUGAGUAAGACCAAAGCGGAGGGGCAAGAAGGAAAAAAUGGGGAAAGAAAUAAGGAAGGAAUUGGGAAAAGAAAAAAAGUAUUAAAGGCAAAAAAAGAAAAUAGGAAAGGGAGACUUAUAAGACAUUAAAAUUGACCCCAAAAAUGUGUCCAGCGAAAGAUUUUCUCUUGUGUCAGGCUGGGCUAAAAGAAAUGAAACAGGAAGAAGGUUUUAAAUUGAUUAAGCCCUAGGACAAAUGCCAGGAAGCUUUCAAAUCGAAGGUCCCUGGUUGUUUUUUUUUUUUUUUUUUUUUUGAGUUUUUAACUCCAUCCCUCAACUUUUUCCUUUUUACCUCCUGCAUCCUGGUGAACCCUGCUCCCUCUCCCCCACGCCCUCCGUUGGUGAUUAAAUCCCCGAAGGUACACGGAGUAUUCAGUGAAUGAAUGGCCCACAAAACAGCCUUCCCCUCCCCUGGCCGUGUUAGUCUGUUUUAUUCCACUGUCUGCCGCCUUUUUCCCUUAAUGAACACAAGGCUAAUCUCAGGGCUUGUCGGCGGGAAGAGGCUGCGUACAUUAACGAGGUAGCUGCUGGAUUCCAAUAUUCAUCUCAUAAGGAGCCUUCUUUGUCCAUGGAGGAAAAGUACACUGAUUAUCAUAAUGAGGUGAUCUGGUGUCCAUAGGGCAGGGGCCACGCAGCUUCUGAAGCCACACGGCUCAUUUGGGGCCAGAGUUGAUAAUUUCAUCAGCUUCUCAUUUAAGUCUGCCUCAGCAGCUGUUCAUGGUUGCUCUGAGCCCGGGUUUGGGGCUGAAGCAGCUGCAAAUGGGACGGCUCUAGAGGAGGUGUCUUUCUUUGACCCUGCGAAAAAAACCAAACCAAACCCGCUGCCGUCGAGUCAAUUCUGACUCAUAGCGACCCUAUAGGACAGAGUAGCACUGCCCCAUAGAGUUUCCAAGGAGCGCCUGGUGGAUUCAAACCGCUGACCUUUUGGUUAGCAGCCGUAGCACUUAACCACUACGCCACCAGGGUUUCCUUUGAGCCCACCAAAAAAAAAAAAAAAAAAACCAAACCCAGUGCCGAUGAGUCGAUUCCGACUCAUAGCGACCUAUAGGACAGAGUAGAACUGCCCCGUAGAGUUUCCAAGGAGCGCCUGGCGGAUUUGAACUGCUGACCCUUCGGCUAGCAACUGUAGCACUUAACCACUGCGCCACCAGGGUUUGAUCCCACACGUAGUUGCAAUUGGCCAGGGCCAUCUCACCGGGCUGUCCCAGAGCAGGGGAACAGGGUAUUCCCUCACCGGACUCGUCUCAGGACCCCCUGAGAGCAUUAGAAAAAAUUCUUAAGAAUUACCAAGUGACAGAACAGGGCCAGGUCAUAGACGUGCAGUUCAUGGAAGGGUCCCAUAGUGAAGACGCCAGGUGGAGACAAGGACAAAAUGUCACAGCUCAUCAUGGUGGCCUGUUUGGUCGCUGGGUAGGAGUUUACUUUAGAGGUGUCACCACCUCUCCGAGGAGAAUAGAUCUCCUGCGUAGAUGAAAUUUGGAGGGGCCGUGGUGGUUCAGUGGUAGAAUUCUCACUUUUUAUGCAGGAGACCUGGGUUUGAUUCUGGGCCAAUAUGCACCUCACGUGUGGCCACCACCCAUCUGUCGCUGGAGACUUGGGUGUUGCUAUGAUGCUGAAUAGGUUUCAGCGGAGCUUCCAGACUAAGAUGGGCUAGGAAGAAAGGCCUGAUGGUCUCCUUCCAAAAAUCAGCCAGUGAGAACCCUGUGGAUCACAACAAUCCACAACCAAUCGUGGGGAUGGUGGAGGACUGGGCAGCUUUUUGUUCCACUGUGCGUGGGGUUAUCACGGGUCGUGGGCCAACUCCCUUAGGUAGCCUGAAGCAACGUAGAUGGAACUGAAACUCCGAGAGGGCAAGGGAUUUGCCAAGAUUGCUCAGCAAGUCAGGUGUCAAGAGUGGAGAUGAAAGCUUACUUCAGAACCUGUAGUCCCAAGGUUUACCACCGGAUAACCCCUCCCCACUUUGUGCUGUGCCUGGCUUAUCUCCCUGAAAUUCCCCCUGUUCCAGCCUGGGCACUGAAUGCCCUGGAACCCUUUAAUAAUUUUGGAGUGGGCAUGUCCUGCGUCUGAAACUUGAGGGCGUUUGUCCUGAGUUCGAAAUGUUUCUCACCCCAAGGCAGAUCAAUCAAGAUUAGAUCACUCCAGUUUAAACUCCAGAUCUUCUGGCCAAGAGAAGAGAAUUGAGGGAGACCAGAGGUGGCUGGAGCAAGCAAACUUUAUUAGUUGAAAACUUAGGCGGCUUCCCUCCGUUAAUGAGUCUGUUGGCUGAGGAUUCUCUGGCAUCGUGGGUUGGAAUUGGAUGCCCCUUUCAAGUUAGCGCCAACGACUAGCCCAGCACCUCGAUAAAGAGGAUGCAAAGGGAUGUUCAAUUGGGUGGGUUGGGGUGAGAGCCACCCUGUCGGGUGAAGUCCUUUCAAAUGAUCAAAAUUAGAUGUAUGAGCCUAGGGGGCUGAGACAAGAAUGGUAGACCCCCCCAAACCUCCCCCUCUCCUGCAUGGAGUUAUUGGAGAGUAAAAUCAUGCGGGUGUUUUUGAUGUUUUCAAACUUAUUUUAAGGGUAAAAAUUGCACAUGCGUCCCUCUCCCCAAUAGACUAUCAAUCAUUAAAAACCAGUUGCCAAAGCCACUGUUAGUAGAGAAUCCCCUGUGGGCAUUUGAGACUGGGGUGGCAGACCUCAGUAGAUCUACCCAGUUCCUGGGUCUUGGGAUCUUAUGCUCAUUUGUGGCUCUUCUGCCACCUGAGGCUUUCAGAGCCCCUCAUGCUGCCUCUGACAUGGCAGACACUCCCCAGGGUGACUUCCACACCAAAUGAAACUCUGAGCUCUAGCCAGGCCUGCAGCCCAAUGCAAGAAGCCCACUCCUGCCUGGGUUUCUGGAAACCAGUCUUAAACGUUACUGAGGCCACCAGGAGAGGGCCUUGAGUUUAUUGACUCCCUUGUGUGGGUGGUCGUUAGAGCCCUCAAGGGUGUGUGUGCACCCCAAAUGGAUGCAGUUCUUAGCUGCUUUGUACAUAGGGCCUCUGCACCCCACUUUUCUAGCUGGGGGUGAGGUGGGCUUGCUGUGCUGAGCCCCAACCCCAAAGCCUACUGAAGUCCUUCCUGGAGGGUUGGGAGAAGAUGGGGAGACAGGGCUUAAACCAGAUGGAAGCCGGAACGAGCAAGGCCAGGAAGUGGUGCUCCCCCCACUCCUCUCACUUACUUUUCUGCUUUUACUCCUGCGCCUCUGUUCCAGCACCUCCCUUCCUCCUCUUCUCUCCCUUCUCUGGCCCCUCUCCCCCAUUUUUUCUGUCUGUCUCAUCUCUCCCUCUCUCUGCUCUAGCUCUCUAAGCUCUCUUCCCUUCUUCCUCCUUCCUCUCUUCUCCCUCCGUCUCUGUCUCCUGUUCUCUCUGUCUCCUGUUCGCUGUGUCUUUCCCUCUCCUGUUGUCUUUCUUUGCUCCCCCUCUCUGUCUCUUCUGUUCUCCCUCCCCCCCCAUUUUCUAACCUGGCUGGGAACCUCCUGGGGUGCCCUAGGCCAGCCCCGCCCCUCUGCUGAGUGUCCCAGACACCAGGCCUGGCACAAAAGGGGCUCAGCGAGAGUAUGUGGGACGUCUGUUUGGACGGGCGAGUCAAUGAGGAGGCCCGGCGGCGAUUCCAGUAGCUGGGCACCAGCGGCUUCAGGGCAGGAGGGCAGAGGCGGGUUUUGUGUUAGUCAGCAGAGGAGUGGGCAAGGCUGGGCAGGGCAGGGCUCCGCUGGCCGUGCCCUCUGUUCACCCGCUGGCCCAUCCUGUCGUCCAACAGUGGAUCCUCGCUGAGCAGGCCCACGGGCCCGGCCCUGGCUGGGCACCGCCAUGCUAGUGUGCCCCCGAUGGCCUCUGAGUCCGAUGGGAGGGCAGGGGGGGUCACUCCUGCUGGGGGUGACCUCAGA